ACGGAAGGCAGCAGUGGGGAAUAUUGGACAAUGGGGGAAACCCUGAUCCAGCGACGCCGCGUGAGUGAAGAAGUAUUUCGGUAUGUAAAGCUCUUUAAGCAGGAAAGAUAGUGACGGUACCUGCAGAAUAAGCCCCGGCUAACUACGUGCCAGCAGCCGCGGUAAUACGUAGGGGGCGAGCGUUAUCCGGAUUUACUGGGUGUAAAGGGAGCGUAGACGGCAAUGCAAGUCUGAAGUGAAAUCCCGUGGCUCAACUGCGGAAUUGCUUUGGAAACUGUAUAGCUAGAGUGUCGGAGAGGUGAGUGGAAUUCCCAGUGUAGCGGUGAAAUGCGUAGAUAUUGGGAGGAACACCGGCGGCGAAGGCGGCUCACUGGACGAUAACUGACGUUGAUGCUCGAAAGCGUGGGGAGCAAACAGGAUUAGAUGCCCUGGUA
rnacentral:rRNA from 1 species